GAUGAACGCUAGCGGCAGGCUUAAUACAUGCAAGUCGAGGGGCAGCACGGGAGCAAUCCUGGUGGCGACCGACAAACGGGUGCGGAACACGUACGCAACCUUCCCAAAACAGGUGAAUAGCCCUCCGAAAGGAGGAUUAAUACACCGUACCAUAAUUGAGUGGCAUCACUUGGUUAUUAUAGGUCGCAAGAUCGGUUUUGGAUGGGCGUGCGCCUGAUUAGGUAGUUGGCGGGGUAACGGCCCGCCAAGCCUCCGAUCGGUAACUGGUGUGAGAGCACGACCAGUCACACGGGCACUGAGACACGGGCCCCGACUCCUACGGGAGGCAGCAGUAAGGAAUAUUGGUCAAUGGACGCAAGUCUGAACCAGCCAUGCCGCGUGCAGGAUGAAGGCCCUC
rnacentral:rRNA from 1 species